rnacentral:rRNA from 1 species
AUGACUGGAGCGGGAGAAGAGAAGAGGAGGAAGCGUCGCAGAGGAGGCGAGGGAGAGGAGCAGCAGCGGCGGCAAGAAACACGUCUGCCAUCCGCGGACAAGAUGCUCGUGUCCGCCUUCUUCAUCUACGGACAAUAUGCCGCCGCCGCUCGGUCCGCCUUCUUGAGCGAGAGAGGAGGCAAGCAAAGAGAGGAGGAGGUGGUGGAGGCGGCGGCGGGGCUAUGA